rnacentral:rRNA from 1 species
CACGUAGGGCGCGAGCGUUGUCCGGAAUUAUUGGGCGUAAAGAGCUCGUAGGCGGCCUGUUGCGUCCGCUGUGAAAGCCCGGGGCUUAACCCCGGGUCUGCAGUGGAUACGGGCAGGCUAGAGGUAGGUAGGGGAGAAUGGAAUUCCCGGUGUAGCGGUGAAAUGCGCAGAUAUCGGGAGGAACACCGGUGGCGAAGGCGGAUCUCUGGGCCGAUACUGACGCUGAGGAGCGAAAGCGUGGGGAGCGAACAGG